GUGUACUUGGCCCCCAAAGUAAUGUAUUAGGGUUUAGCCCAAAGUUUGAACAAUGAGAAAUAUAACCUUCGCGGCGACUAGCUAACUUUUUUCUCCUUCUCUUCCAUAGCCGCCGCCGAGGUCAGUGUUUCAAGUUGGAGUGGGCUUAUUUUGUGAAAUCGAAUGGUUUGUGCAAAUAAAGAAUUGUCUAAGGUAAUGUGAUUCUGCAUUAUCGUAGGCAGGACGAGGCUUAUUCGGGAUGUCUUAUGGACUUCCAAUGCUUGCGUAUCUCAUUCCUCUCAUCAGCAUCCUCAAGUUUUCAAGAUCUUUUCUGCACUCCCAAAUCUUGAUACUGGUGUUGGUCCUAGCGGUGUCUAAUGAUACUUCUGUUCAGAUCAUUUCUAUAGUGGAUACUUGAGGUAGAGCUAUUGGCGUUCGCAGUCCCUGAAGUCCCCUUCUAUUCAUGUCUUUACCGUUUAUGUCUUUUCAAACAAUUAUAUUUUGUUCAAACCAUACUUGUAGUAUUCUAGUUGCUCAUAUACUAAUGACUCUAGAUUUUUGGGAUUAGACUAGAACGUGGUAUAUUAUGGGUUUAUUUUAUA